GUCAAAAGGAGUUUGGAACACUGGAAAAGAAACAUUUACAAGAUCACAAAGAUCAUAAAGAAACAUUUAUAAGAAUCACACAUACAAACAGAAAAUGCACUAACCUUACAGAGAUAAGCUCAUGAAGAUUAAUGAACAGAUAAUGAUUUAAAACCUGGCUAAGAACACAAACAUACGUAAUUAAAUCAGCCUGGUAAUUUCAUGAGGGUUAAAAUGGUGUGAAUGUUGAAGAAAAUACACUUAAAACACACUUGGAUAAAAUAGAGUUGUGGAAUAACUCAAACGAAGCUGUAUGACAAGGGGUGAGUUAUGGAAAAAACAAAACAAAAGAGAAGUGAUUACUUAGGAGUGCUCUUGCACUGAUUUAUCAAAGUAAGUGAUUAGUAUAGAAAGAAAAUGAAAAUAAUUGAAUAAUGUGAUAAGGUUUAAACAUGUAUUCCUCUUGUUAAGUUGGCUGUUGAGCUGUGGGUUUAUGCAAAUUAGCUGGAGUGAGUGAGUGACAAAGACACUUCCUGUGUGCGUGUGUGUCGGAGGCUUUCAGUUCAAGAGAGAUCGGGGCUGAUGAAGAGUAUGGGGAGAAAUAUAUAAUGGCCUGGAAGAGAGUGAAUGGACGGCGCUGACAAAAUUACCAAGUACGAAAAUCAGGUGGGCAUUACGGAAUUAUAAUUGAUUACAAUCAGAGACUGAUUGGCGGCGAGUCUCUGUCUAAAAAUGGGUUGUAUCGAUUCAAUCCAGUCAAAAGUAUAGAGAACUAUUUUCCUAAAAAGGAAAACGAAACGAAACAAAUGCAAAUGAUUGAGCUCAUUUUGCUGAUGUGGAGCAUCUGAUGACGUGCGCGGAAGGCUGCAGAUCAGCAAAAAUAUCAUGUGAAUGCAUGGGAGUGAAUGUGAGUGGUUGGACCAAGGGGGAAAUAAAUAAAAGGUUGACAAACAGGAGAAGUGGAAGACUUAAAUCUGGGGAUGCUGAUGUUCCUUUGGGUGAAUUUCUGCUUUGUUGAUUUGGGUUAGACCAUAUUGAUACAUUAUAAAAUGCUAAAAGGGAAACAUUGAUGUAACUUAAGUUACCAUUAACUGAGGUAACACAUGAUUAAUAACUGUUUUGUUUAAGUUUAUUUUGUGUCAUGACACAGACUAGAUCAUAAAGGGAGAGUUGAGUAUGAAAUGUAAGGCACAGGUUUUGUUUUCAGGAAAUUCCAAGGAUCCAGACUUUGCAUGGAGCAACGAUUUUGAGGAGAUUUGACAUGAUGAUAAAAUUGAUUUUGUUCCUUAAACACAGGUUUUCAGGGCUGGAGCAAAACACCGGAGAGGAGAAUUGCUGAGCUGUUCUGGGAAAUGAAAUGACUAACCUUUUUUCCUUUUGAUUUGUUAAGCUUGGGUGAAGCAUGUUGAGUUUUUUGCCACAUGAGAUGUGUCAAAAAAGAGAGGGAUUUAAGAUUUAAUUUGUUUAAUGUGAAAGGGGUUUUACUAGGAUUUUAUAACGAUUGGGGUUGUUUGAUAAUCUAGAUAUAGUAAAACUGAGGACUUGUUAAAAGAAAGGAGUAAAAUGAACUGAAUUCUGUUUAGAAGAUAAAUUGCUGGGGUUAAUAAGAAGUUGUACACCAAACUUAAAGGGGAAAUUGUGGGAAUAAAGGAUAUGCUUUGGGGAAAAUAGUGAAGAUUUUAUGAGUAGAAAAUGUGGGAUUUCUUUUUGAUUUUUAGGAUAAGUUGUAACAGUGACAUAAUGUUAGAAUGUUGUUAUAAUGUAGUAAAUAGAUUUAUUUUUAGGGUAGAGGAGAGCUUUUUAUGAGGAUGUUAAAAGUCUCGCUGACUCAAAUGAAUAAUAUUGGAGAUUAUAUAUGUAGAAAUGAUUUUUCAUACACAUUGCAUUUUUGUGCCUUUGAUGGAGUUGUGGCUCAGAGAGUCGUCUCUUGAGGGUCACAAACUUUUGGUUAACGUUAUGAUUAGCCAAUCUACUGUGAGAAUGACCUGAGUUAUUGAAGGAUUGCACACGCUUACAGACAUAUAGAGUUCAUUAAGACCUGACAGUAUUGAUUCCAGGCAAAAGCCUGAAAUCCAUUUAGCAUUUAACUGAAUAGGAGUUUCGUUGGUAACUAAAUUGGGUGACAUGUAAAAUAUGGAGAUAACACAUGCAGUUCUAAAUUAGUCCUCUUAUAUAAAAUGCAGUUACAGGAUAACAAAUACUUGUUGAAGGGAUCAAGUUUUUGCUUUAAACCAGGUCCAAAGGGGAAAAGCUUAUGUAUUUUGGUUAAAACUGAUAAAAUAUAAUGACUGAUAAAAUAUAAUUAGAAUGUACCAUUACAUUAAAAGCAGCAAAAUGAAAUAAAAUGAUAUAUUCAAACAGGUUAUCACCCAGGAAAUGGGAGUUCAAAAUACUGUUAGAGUUCAGCUUUUAGCUAUGAUGAAAGUUAUUUAGGAGUAAUUGAUUAUAUGCUUAAACUUAGUUGAUUAAAAUGGUUGUUUUUCUUUGAUCCUUUCAGUAGAAUAAGCCCUUAUAAUGAUUUUAUGAUGAUUUUGCUUGUGAAAGGUGACUUUAGAUGAGAGGCCUUGCAGCAGUGGCAGUUUUGUGUACAGGAUGUUGAUGAUCAGAUAAGGAAAACAGGAAACGUAUGACAGCAGUGCUGUAAGACUGUUAGAAAGCUGUAGAUUGAGAUGAGUGAUGUUUAAGAUUAUAUAGGAAUAAAAGUCAAAAACCAAAUACAAAAUUAGGUUCAUGCUUUGAGUAAUAUUAGCUGGAAUCAGGUUUGAAUAAAGUAGGGGGAGAGUGUUUUCUAUCCUUUACAGGAGAAGAUUUCCACGAGAGAGGGACCAAGGACAACCUGACUUUACCCAUGGAGUGUUCUUAGGGGGAGCUGGCAUUUCUAGAGAGGGUCAGAGUAAUGUUAUAAGUGUAUGGUGACCCUUUUUAAGGGUCACCAAGAGAGGGAGUAUCGAGAAUAGAAAUAUUUUACUGCUAUUAUUUGUUGCUAUUUUAUAAUCGUCAUUACCAUUUCAUGGGAUGUUGCAUUCAGAUGCACUCAGAUGUUCAAAAUAUAUUGGUAUUAUAUUAGUCUUUAUUACAGGUUCAGUUAUAAUCAGUUGAAUCUAUAAUUUAAAGGUUUUCGAAUGUUUUAUAUUCUUACACAUAGUCUUCAGUGGGGGAGAAACUGAGUUGCAGGCUGACAGGAAACGGUGUGCUUUUGCAAAAGUGAAACCAAAACCAGAGUCUGGGUUUGUAUAAUGAGUUUAUACAUUUUACAUAGAAGUUAAGAUCAUCACAACACAGGAUGGCCUUAGCCUGGUUGCCUACGUGAGGUCAACUAAGGUUCAGAAAGCAGAUGCACACUCUGUGCACGCGAGACACACACACACACUGUUAGGGUGUAGGUGAGAGUUGACUGAUGAAGCAGUAGAUGCACGAUGCGAGAGCUGAGCUGGCUUACGGGAAACCACCGGGGAGAAGAUGGAAGCCAGUGUACUUUUAAUUGUGCCUUAAGCUGUCAAAUAGAACAUUUGUGGUUUUGAAGCUGAUGUAUGUGAUGACGCAAUGAGGGGGCGUCACUAAAUAUACUCUGAUGCAUAUAAAACUGUAUUUUGAUGUUAGGAGGAUGAGAUUGUGGGGCUGUCUGCUUACGGAGUCCGCUCAUUCUCCCACGCGUGUCAUUUCAUUAAAAUCAUCGUCUUUACCCUUUGGACCAGUGUGGUUACUUGCAUUCCUCCUGUGUUUCCUUCCCUAUAUUUUUGAACCUUAACAAGAGGCAUGCUGCUGCAGGAAACAAG
ensembl:lncRNA